rnacentral:rRNA from 1 species
GGGGUUUCCGCUAUCGUAGGUAGGGUACUGGCAACAGUGCUCUGCUGAAAUAUUUUCACCCAUGUCUUUUGCGCACUUUUUGUUUCCUGGGCGAGUUUGCUCGCCACCAGGACCCCCAUAUGAACCUUUUUUGUUUUUGCACUCAGCGUCAGUACAAUAAUUUAAUCUAUUAAAACUUUCAACAACGGAUCUCUUGGUUCUGGCAUCGAUGAAGAACGCAGCGAAAUGCGAUACGUAGUGUGAAUUGCAGAAUUCAGUGAAUCAUCGAAUCUUUGAACGCACAUUGCGCCCUUUGGUAUUCCAAAGGGCAUGCCUGUUCGAGCGUCAUUUGUACCCUCAAGCUUUGCUUGGUGUUGGGCGUCUUAUUGUCUCUCCGUCUCGGGGAGACUCGCCUUAAAACAAUUGGCAGCCGGCCUACUGGUUUCGGAGCGCAGCACAAAUUUGCGCUUGCAAUCAGCCAAGGGCGGCAUCCAUGAAGCCUUUUUUCUCUCACAUUUUGACCUCGGAUCAGGUAGGGAUACCCGCUGAACUUAAGCAUAUCAAUAAGCGGGAGAAGA